rnacentral:tRNA from 1 species
ACCUGGCUGGCUCAGUCAGUGGAGUGUAUGACUCUUGAUCCCGAGGUCAUGGGUUCAAAUCCCAUGUUAGGUA